GCCUGCUUGACAAACCUCUUGACUCCGCGUCUCCUUGAUCCCAACAUCUGGUGACCCCGACGUGAUUCACCGGAUCCCGAGGACCCCUGCUCAUCCGACUGGAAUAGUCUAGGUGCACCCGCUGGAAACAGCCACUCGUGGCGGCGUUGGUACACCGAAUAUCCCUGCACAAACCUCAACGGCACAACGGCAUUAUCAGACGACCGAAGUUCUUCCUGCUCCAAAG